rnacentral:rRNA from 1 species
GCGAAGACUCCUACGGGAGGCAGCAGUGGGGAAUAUUGCACAAUGGGCGCAAGCCUGAUGCAGCCAUGCCGCGUGUGUGAAGAAGGCCUUCGGGUUGUAAAGCACUUUCAGCAGUGAGGAAGGCGGAGUCGUUAAUAGCGGCCUCGUUUGACGUUAGCUGCAGAAGAAGCACCGGCUAACUCCGUACCAGCAGCCGCGGUAAUACGGAGGGUGCGAGCGUUAAUCGGUAAUUACUGGGCGUAAAGCGCAUGCAGGUGGUUUGUUAAGUCAGAUGUGAAAGCCCGGGGCUCAACCUCGGAAUAGCAUUUGAAACUGGCAGACUAGAGUACUGUAGAGGGGGUAGAAUUUCAGGUGUAGCGGUGAAAUGCGUAGAGAUCUGAAGGAAUACCGGUGGCGAAGGCGGCCCCCUGGACAGAUACUGACACUCAGAUGCGAAAGCGUGGGGAGCAAACAGGAUUAGAUACCCUGGUAG